UGUCUCCUCCAACCCUCCCUGACUUGGAUUGAACCCGCUGCCGCAAGGUCAGCGGGUUUUUUUUC
rfam:Herbaspirillum sp. TSA66 contig01, whole genome shotgun sequence.